AACGAACGCUGGCGGCAUGCCUAACACAUGCAAGUCGAACGAUCCCUCCGGGGUUAGUUGCGCACGGGUGCGGAACGCGGGGGAACCUGCCCGUAGGUUCGGAAUAACUCAGAGAAAGAUGAGCUAAUAACGGAGGAGGUCUUCGGACCAAAGAUUUAUCGCCGUUGGCUGGGGCCGGGUAGGAUUAGGCGGUUGGUGGGGUAAAGGCCUACCAAGGCGACGAUCCAUAGCUGGUCUGAGAGGAUGCUCCGCCACACUGGGACUGCGACACGGCCCAGACUCCUACGGGGGGCAGCAGUAGGGAGUAUUAGGCGCUGAACGCUAGCCUGGUCCAGCCAUGCCGCGUGAGUGAUGCAGGCCUUAGGGUUGUACAUCUCUUUUUCCCGGGAUGAUAAUGACAGUACCGGGUGAAUAAGCCCCGGCUAACUCCGUG
rnacentral:rRNA from 1 species